UUUUAGGUUCCUUACCAAUCCUUGGGUCUUCCGCUGCAAAAGGUAUUAAUGCUUCCAGAUCAGGUGUUUUGGUAGUUCACGAAUCACAACAGACUUUUGUUCACUUCACUGGUUACUUUAUCUGGUUGAUAAAGCAAUGGCUCACAAUAGGAGGAUGAGACAAAAACCAUUCACAG